UCACAUUCAGGGUAGUUAUAACAUUUAUUUAUCAGCUAGUUGACGUUCUACCAUCAUUUUCUUACCCGUUUUUGGAAUAAAAACGUUAGCUAUUAGCGUGGCCGAGCCUUUUUAUAGACGGCAGAGAAGAUUCUCGUUCAUUUAGUUGGCGGAAAUCCGAAGAGUUAACAUCGACCAGUGCUUUAAAACUUAUAGUAAAGUGUGGCUAAAGAAAAAAUUUAACCUAAGUUUAAAUUCAAAGUGUUUUUCUUCUUUUCCACCAAUUAAAUGUUCCUGCUUCUUUUCUUUAUUACCCAUCUUAAUUGUUUUCUUUUUGCCCUUUAGUAAAACGGUCGAUUUGCCUGCAAGAAACCUCGCUCCAUUUUAAUUGGGUAUUUCCAAUUAAUUCCUCGGCAUUUUAUUUGGUCACUAGGCUGAAUUGCUAUCGAUCUCUUCGAAGCUCCACACACCAGACGAGACAGAAAAAUUGAGAGAUUUCUGGGUUUCAAUCCGCAAAUUGCUUAGACUGUGGUGAUCCAGCACACGAAUUAAGUUCUCAUCGAUCCCCGUGCUAAUCGCGUCGUUGUUUUUUUGCUCUGAGUGUUGGUAGUUUAGCCGCCGCAACCCGAAAAGAAAAAAAGAAAGUCUAAAACAAUGGUGAAGUGCUAAAACCAUGUCCUACAGGACUUUUUGUGGGUAAAUCUAAAUAUAUACGGCCCAGGUGUUCAAAUGUGUCAUAUAAUCGCCGUGAAAUUUUCUGUAUUAAUUUGCAUUCAAAGCAUUUAAAACAAAAAAGGAAGAAAACAAAAAAACCCCUUAUGCCCAAUGAUAC
rnacentral:sRNA from 1 species